GGGUUGUGAGGUUAAGCGACUAAGCGUACACGGUGGAUGCCUAGGCAGUCAGAGGCGAUGAAGGGCGUGCUAAUCUGCGAAAAGCGUCGGUAAGGUGAUAUGAACCGUUAUAACCGACGAUACCCGAAUGGGGAAACCCAGUGCAAUUCGUUGCACUAUUGCAUGGUGAAUACAUAGCCAUGCAAGGCGAACCGGGGGAACUGAAACAUCUAAGUACCCCGAGGAAAAGAAAUCAACCGAGAUUCCCCCAGUAGCGGCGAGCGAACGGGGAGGAGCCCAGAGUCUGAAUCAGUUUGUGUGUUAGUGGAAGCGUCUGGAAAGUCGCAGGGUACAGGGUGAUACUCCCGUACACAAAAACACACUUGCUGUGAACUCGAUGAGUAGGGCGGGACACGUGACAUCCUGUCUGAAUAUGGGGGGACCAUCCUCCAAGGCUAAAUACUCCUGACUGACCGAUAGUGAACCAGUACCGUGAGGGAAAGGCGAAAAGAACCCCGGCGAGGGGAGUGAAAUAGAACCUGAAACCGUGUACGUACAAGCAGUGGGAGCCUACUUUGUUGGGUGACUGCGUACCUUUUGUAUAAUGGGUCAGCGACUUAUAUUUUGUAGCAAGGUUAACCGAAUAGGGGAGCCGUAGGGAAACCGAGUCUUAACUGGGCGUCUAGUUGCAAGGUAUAGACCCGAAACCCGGUGAUCUAGCCAUGGGCAGGUUGAAGGUUGGGUAACACUAACUGGAGGACCGAACCGACUAAUGUUGAAAAAUUAGCGGAUGACUUGUGGCUGGGGGUGAAAGGCCAAUCAAACCGGGAGAUAGCUGGUUCUCCCCGAAAGCUAUUUAGGUAGCGCCUCGUGAACUCAUCUUCGGGGGUAGAGCACUGUUUCGGCUAGGGGGCCAUCCCGGCUUACCAAACCGAUGCAAACUCCGAAUACCGAAGAAUGUUAUCACGGGAGACACACGGCGGGUGCUAACGUCCGUCGUGAAGAGGGAAACAACCCAGACCGCCAGCUAAGGUCCCAAAGUCAUGGUUAAGUGGGAAACGAUGUGGGAAGGCAUAGACAGCCAGGAUGUUGGCUUAGAAGCAGCCAUCAUUUAAAGAAAGCGUAAUAGCUCACUGGUCGAGUCGGCCUGCGCGGAAGAUGUAACGGGGCUAAACCAUGCACCGAAGCUGCGGCAGCGACGCUUAGGCGUUGUUGGGUAGGGGAGCGUUCUGUAAGCCGUUGAAGGUGACCUGUGAGGGUUGCUGGAGGUAUCAGAAGUGCGAAUGCUGACAUAAGUAACGAUAAUGCGGGUGAAAAACCCGCACGCCGGAAGACCAAGGGUUCCUGUCCAACGUUAAUCGGGGCAGGGUGAGUCGACCCCUAAGGCGAGGCUGAAAAGCGUAGUCGAUGGGAAACAGGUUAAUAUUCCUGUACUUGGUGUUACUGCGAAGGGGGGACGGAGAAGGCUAGGCUAGCCGGGCGACGGUUGUCCCGGUUUAAGCAUGUAGGCGGAGUGACUUGGUAAAUCCGGUUGCUUAUCAACGCUGAGGUGUGAUGACGAGUCACUACGGUGAUGAAGUAGUUGAUGCCAAGCUUCCAGGAAAAGCCUCUAAGCAUCAGGUAACAUUAAAUCGUACCCCAAACCGACACAGGUGGUCAGGUAGAGAAUACUCAGGCGCUUGAGAGAACUCGGGUGAAGGAACUAGGCAAAAUGGUGCCGUAACUUCGGGAGAAGGCACGCUGGCAUUAGGUAAAGGGACUUGCUCCCGGAGCUGAAGCCAGUCGCAGAUACCAGCUGGCUGCAACUGUUUAAUAAAAACACAGCACUGUGCAAACACGAAAGUGGACGUAUACGGUGUGACGCCUGCCCGGUGCUGGAAGGUUAAUUGAUGGGGUCAGCCGCAAGGCGAAGCUCUUGAUCGAAGCCCCAGUAAACGGCGGCCGUAACUAUAACGGUCCUAAGGUAGCGAAAUUCCUUGUCGGGUAAGUUCCGACCUGCACGAAUGGCGUAAUGAUGGCCAGGCUGUCUCCACCCGAGACUCAGUGAAAUUGAACUCGCUGUGAAGAUGCAGUGUACCCGCGGCAAGACGGAAAGACCCCGUGAACCUUUACUAUAGCUUGACACUGAACAUUGAGCCUUGAUGUGUAGGAUAGGUGGGAGGCAUUGAAGUGUGGACGCCAGUCUGCAUGGAGCCAACCUUGAAAUACCACCCUUUAAUGUUUGAUGUUCUAACUCGGCCCCGUGAUCCGGGGUGAGGACAGUGUCUGGUGGGUAGUUUGACUGGGGCGGUCUCCUCCCAAAGAGUAACGGAGGAGCACGAAGGUUAGCUAAUCACGGUCGGACAUCGUGAGGUUAGUGCAAAGGCAUAAGCUAGCUUGACUGCGAGAGUGACGGCUCGAGCAGGUACGAAAGUAGGUCUUAGUGAUCCGGUGGUUCUGAAUGGAAGGGCCAUCGCUCAACGGAUAAAAGGUACUCCGGGGAUAACAGGCUGAUACCGCCCAAGAGUUCAUAUCGACGGCGGUGUUUGGCACCUCGAUGUCGGCUCAUCACAUCCUGGGGCUGAAGUAGGUCCCAAGGGUAUGGCUGUUCGCCAUUUAAAGUGGUACGCGAGCUGGGUUUAGAACGUCGUGAGACAGUUCGGUCCCUAUCUGCCGUGGGCGUUGGAAGAUUGAGAGGGGCUGCUCCUAGUACGAGAGGACCGGAGUGGACGAAUCACUGGUGUUCGGGUUGUCAUGCCAAUGGCAUUGCCCGGUAGCUAAAUUCGGAAGAGAUAACCGCUGAAAGCAUCUAAGCGGGAAACUUGCCUCGAGAUGAGUCUUCCCUGGGGCUUUAAGCCCCCUGAAGGAACGUUAAAGACUAUGACGUUGAUAGGCUGGGUGUGUAAGUGCAGCGAUGCAUUGAGCUAACCAGUACUAAUGAUCCGUGAGGCUUAACCUUACAACACCAAAGGUGUUUUG
rnacentral:rRNA from 1 species